rnacentral:rRNA from 1 species
CAGCAGCCGCGGGAAUACGUAGGUGGCAAGCGUUGUCCGGAAUUAUUGGGCGUAAAGGGCUCGCAGGCGGUUUCUUAAGUCUGAUGUGAAAGCCCCCGGCUCAACCGGGGAGGGUCAUUGGAAACUGGGAAACUUGAGUGCAGAAGAGGAGAGUGGAAUUCCACGUGUAGCGGUGAAAUGCGUAGAGAUGUGGAGGAACACCAGUGGCGAAGGCGACUCUCUGGUCUGUAACUGACGCUGAGUAGCGAAAGCGUGGGGAGCGAACAGGAUUAGAUACCCCCGUAGUCCCUGUCUCUUAUAC